AUGGUAGGUAUCUUAUUUAUCUCCUACACGUUGUUAUAUUUUCUCUUGCUUUUGCAUAUGGCUUUAGUUGCUGGUUUUGCUGGUUUUCCCCUUAAUCCACUAAAACAGACCCACAAAACGGUAGCAUGCUUUCCUAAUUGCAAUACAUCUGACUCUGUUGUCACACCUGGAAUUAUUUUUAGUUAA